AUGGAAAAGCUCAUAGAUUCAACUAAUGGUGAGUACUCGAGAGUAUUUGACUACCACCUUGAGUUACUUAGGAGCAAUCCUGGGAGUACCGUUGCAGUGACAUUAGACCCAGAUGUGCGUGACAGGAAUGUUUUUAAGAGGAUGUAUGUCUGUCUAGAUGGCUGCAAGAAAGGUUUCAUGGCUGGGUGUAGAAGGGUUGUUGGUUUAGAUGGUUGUUUCCUGAAGGGUGCAGUGCAUGGACAGAUUCUCUGUGCAAUUGGGAGAGAUUCAAACAACCAGAUGUACCCAAUUGCAUGGGCUAUUGUUGAAGUCGAGAGUUAUGACAGUUGGUACUGGUUUUUGUCAUUUCUGCAGAAGGACAUUCAGAUAAAUAAUCAUGGUGAUGGUUGGGUAUUCAUUUCUGACCAGCAGAAGGGGCUCAUCAGAGCAGUAAAUGAAAUUUGUCCACAAGCAGAGCAUAGAAUGUGUGCUAGACACAUCUAUGCAAACUGGAGAAAGCAACAUAGGGAGAAGAUAUAUCAGAAAAUUUUCUAG
rnacentral:rRNA from 1 species